ACUUGUGUAAAUAAUUGGCGACUGCAAUCGUGGAACUUAUUUUUUUGUGUUUCAGUAAAAUAAACAUAACUGAAGGAUGUUCUACGUUCUAUUUUUUGAACCGCACGUCGUCGCCUGAUUUCGAACAAAACUACUAUAUAACAGCAUUGAUUUUGGAAGAGAAUUAUCAUUUGCUUACUUCAGGUCCCUGCGGUACGAGCACAAAUUAUCCAAAAUGAAAUUCAUCCUAGUUCUUGCCAUGCUUAUGGCUGUCGCCUAUGCCUCCGAGGAGCUGACAAACCAGCUGUUGCAACUACAGCAAGCCAUCGACAUCGAUCCGGAACAAGCCCACGGAUGGUUCAGCAAGGUUGUUGGUUUUGUGACAAAGAACGCCGGAGCCAUCGGAAGUAUUGCCAAAGGCGUCAUGGCAAUUGCGGGAUAAACAAUGACACGGCAGGAUGAGUAAAAUUAAUGGUGACUGAUCCAACAUCUCAGUAUACAACUACUCACCUAAUUGAAAAUAUUCGUCUGCAUUCAACUUGGUACUAAUAUAUUGUUUUGCUACGUAAUAAAAAUUUUUCAUCCAAAAA